rnacentral:rRNA from 1 species
CUCAGUUCAGAUUGCAGGCUGCAACCCGCCUGCAUGAAGUCGGAAUUGCUAGUAAUCGCGGAUCAGCAUGCCGCGGUGAAUACGUUCCCGGGCCUUGUACACACCGCCCGUCACACCAUGGGAGCCGGUAAUACCCGAAGUCAGUAGUCCAACCUCGUGAGGACGCUGCCGAAGGUAGGAUUGGCGACUGGGGUGAAGUCGUAACAAGGUAUC